UCUCAUGAGGAAACAGAGAAGGUGGCUA
rnacentral:piRNA from 1 species